rnacentral:rRNA from 1 species
UUGCUAAUACCCCAUGUGAUCAUUAGCAUUAGAUGGCUGAUGAUUAAACGGAUUUAUUCGCUUUGGGAGGGGCCUGCGUCCCAUCAGCUAGUUGGUAGGGUAAUGGCCUACCAAGGCUAUGACGGGUAGGGGACCUGAGAGGGUGACCCCCCACACUGGCACUGAAACACGGGCCAGACACCUACGGGUGGCAGCAGUAGGGAAUAUUGGUAAUCUGGGAAUCCGGGAACCAGCAACGCCGCGUGUGCGAUGAAGGCCUUCGGGUUGUAAAGCACUUUUUGAGGGGAUGAAAAAGGACAGUACCCUCAGAAUAAGUCUCGGCUAACUACGUGCCAGCAGCCGCGGUAAGACGUAGGAGACGAGCGUUAUUCGGAUUUACUGGGCGUAAAGCGCGUGCAGGCGGUUUGGUAAGUUGGAUGUGAAAGCUCCCGGCUCAACUGGGAGAGGUCGUUCAAAACUGCCAGACUAGAGAAUAGGAGAGGGAGGUGGAAUUCCGGGUGUAGUGGUGAAAUGCGUAGAUAUCCGGAGGAACACCAGUGGCGAAGGCGACCUCCUGGCCUAUUUCUGACGCUCAGACGCGAAAGCUAGGGUAGCAAACGGGAUUAGAGACCCCGGUAGUCCUAGCCGUAAACGAUGUAGACUUGGCGUUGGUGGGGUAAAAUCCAUCAGUGCCGAAGCAAACGCGAUAAGUCUACCGCCUGGGGACUACGGCCGCAAGGUUAAAACUCAAAAGAAUUGACGGA